AUUGAACGCUGGCGGCAGGCCUAACACAUGCAAGUCGAACGAGUGGCGGACGGGUGAGUAAUGUCUGGGAAACUGCCCGAUGGAGGGGGAUAACUACUGGAAACGGUAGCUAAUACCGCAUACCAUCAGAUGUGCCCAGAUGGGAUUAGCUAGUAGGUGGGGUAAAGGCUCACCUAGGCGACGAUCCCUAGCUGGUCUGCGAGGAUGACCAGCCACACUGGGACUGAGACACGGUCCAGACUCCUACGGGAGGCAGCAGUGGGGAAUAUUGCACAAUGUGCGCAAGCCUGAUGCAGCCAUGCCGCGUGUAUGAAGAAGGCCUUAGGGUUGUAAAGUACUUUCAGCGGGGAGGCGUUACCCGCAGAAGAAGCACCGGCUAACUCCGUGCCAGCAGCCGCGGUAAUUC
rnacentral:rRNA from 1 species